rnacentral:rRNA from 1 species
GUCUUUUUGAUUAUAAUUUAAAGUCUAAUCUGCCCACUGAUAAAUAUUAAAGGGCUGCAGUAUACUAACUGUACAAAGGUAGCAUAAUCAUUAGUUUUUUAAUUGGAAACUUGUAUGAAAGAUUUGAUGAAAUAUAAACUGUCUCUUUAUUAUUAUUAAAAAUUUAUUUUUUAGUAAAAAAGCUAAAAUAGUUUUAAAAGACGAGAAGACCCUAUAGAGUUUUAUAUUAAAUUUAUAUUUUAAAAAUAUAUAAAAAUUAUUAUUAAAAUGAAAUUGAGUAUUUUAUUGGGGUGAUAGAAAAAUUAGGUUAACUUUUUUUAAAAAUUAAACAUAAAUAAAUGAUUAAAUGAUCCAUUAAUAAUGAUUAUAAGAAUAAAUUACCUUAGGGAUAACAGCGUAAUAUUUUUUUUUAGUUCAAAUAAAAAAAAAAGUUUGCGACCUCGAUGUUGGAUUAAGAUAAAAUUUAAAUGUAAAAGUUUAAAAUUUUGAUCUGUUCGAUCAUUAAAAUCUU